rnacentral:rRNA from 1 species
UUAGCCCAGCGCAUAACCUCCCGAGCUACCAAGCUUGCGGCGGCAUGUUGCGUUAAAGGAAAGGUCGUUUUUAAGCCCUGCACAGCGUAUUCCUAAGUAUGGUUGGAAUCUUCCACUGUGUUUUAACGAACACAACGGCUCCAUAGAGGGUGACAGACCCGUGUGGCUACGUGGAUAUGUGUAUGGGUUCGGCUUUUUUCCUUGAGAGUCGCGUUGCUUGAACAUGCAGCGCUAAGCAGGUCGUAAACUCGACCUAAGGCUAAAUAUUUCCACAGAACCGAUAGUAAACAAGUACCGUGAGGGAAAGUUGAAAAGCACUCUGAAGAGAGAGUUAAAAGACCGUGAAACCGUUUAGAGUAUAAGCCAAUGGUAAUCCGGGAGGCAUGGAGCAAGCUUAUUCCCUUGGGAGAUGCUAUCGUGUAUGGAUAAGUUCUGAAGGGGCAGUGGCAUUGAGUUUAUAGCACACCUGACGAAACUCUACGGGUUACUGACAGUGAGUACAGGGGGGGUUAUCUUGGGUAACACCCCCGAGGCUGGACUUUAGUGAGCACACCUUUUACGACCAUACUUUAACGAGCUGCUUAACAUACAGCCCACCACAACUUUUUAUGAGGUUACCCACACGAGACAUGGCUGUGCGUUGUUGUGGCGAGCCUCUGAUUACUACGGCGUGCGAUCAGGGCCGGCACACUUCCUCAUGUUCCAGAACGUGUGUUUGGUAUAAUCCUUCAGUGAAUGUUGCUUUCUGACCAUCCUAAAGCCAUAGAUGAGCCUUCGGGAACGUCGGAUGAAAUGACGGACGGCGUAUCCGUUGGUGGAGGAUGACAGGUGAAUUAGUCCGGAGCCAUUGGUCACGUCUCGAAACACGGGCCAAGGAGCAUAGCAUGUGCGCAAGUCCAAGGGUCUCACAAAACCCGGAGGCGAAGUGAAAGCAAAUGGUGUGCCGUGCGUUCUGGCCCUCGGGUCCGUCGCCGGCAGCUAGGUUGAGCGUAAUUCCCGUUCGGAUGAAUGCGUCGGUCAGCUAUAUACCGAGUUGAUCCAUCGUAAUAGCCUAAUGGCGAUACGAAGGCGCAAACUCCAGACUCCCUAUAGGGUUAUAUAUGCUCUUUGAGAGUACUGUGUAGCGUGCAUGCUAUGACCCGAAAGAUAGUGAACUAUGCCUGGCGA